rnacentral:tRNA from 1 species
GCAUUGGUCGUUCAGUGGUAGAAUUCUCACCUUCCAUGUGGAAGACCAGGGUUCGACUCCCUGCUGAUGCA